GGACGAACGCUGGCGGCGUGCCUAACACAUGCAAGUCGAGCGAGGAGAUUCCUUCGGGAUGAUCCUAGCGGCGGACGGGUGAGUAACACGUGGGCAACCUGCCUCAUAGAGAGGAAUAGCCUUCCGAAAGGGAGAUUAAUACCUCAUAACAUUGCAGUUUCGCAUGAAACAGCAAUUAAAGGAGCAAUCCGCUAUGAGAUGGGCCCGCGGCGCAUUAGCUAGUUGGUGAGGUAACGGCUCACCAAGGCGACGAUGCGUAGCCGACCUGAGAGGGUGAUCGGCCACAUUGGGACUGAGACACGGCCCAGACUCCUACGGGAGGCAGCAGUGGGGAAUAUUGCACAAUGGGGGAAACCCUGAUGCAGCCAACGCCGCGUGAGUGAUGACGGCCUUCGGGUUGUAAAGCUCUGUCUUCAGGGACGAUAAUGACGGUACCUGAGGAGGAAGCCACGGCUAACUACGUGCCAGCAGCUGC
rnacentral:rRNA from 1 species